UGCAAGUUAUGAUAAACAAUAUCCCAAAAAAAAAUUAAAAAUACGAUAAUAGACAUGUAUAUUGUAAUUUAUUGUUUAGAAACAUAUAAAUAGAAAACUAUUCACGGUAAAUUAGAAAGAAUUAUCUUGUGUCCAAGUAGACAACUGAAAACAUGGCGUUCGUGCAGCUACUUGUCACCUCACUUCUAAUCCUUGUAACCAAAGCAGACGUCGCAAUCGAUAUAGAAAAUGCUUCUUCAGAUGUCUACUGGAUUGGUAUUCUAGCAAACCCUGGACUACCCAUACCUAGUAAUGGAGGAUUCGUUUUGAACGGAGGACAAACAACGACCGUAAGUGUUCCAGACAAUUGGGUGGGUAGGUUUUGGGCCAGGACUGGUUGCGACAGCGGUACAAAUACCUGUCAAACUGGAGAUUGCAGAAACGGUGUGGAAUGUGCCGGUAAUGGAGGAGCUCCUCCAGUUACAUUGGUGGAAAUAACAAUAAAAGGAGACGGUGGACAAGACUUUUACGAUAUUUCUUUAGUUGAUGGAUUUAACGUUAAGGCUUCUAUUCAACCCAUCGAUGGUACCGGCGACUGUUCGACCGCCGAAUGUGAAUCAGAUGUCAAUGCAGCAUGUCCUGAGCAAUUAAAAGACGGAGAUUACGCGUGCUACUCGUCAUGUGCUAAGUUCAAUACCGAUCAAUAUUGCUGUAGAAAUGAGUUGAAUUUUCAUUCUUUAAUGAUAAUCAUUAGUCCACGGGUUCCUCUAAAAUUCCAGAUGAUUACGGUAGUGUAGACACGUGUAAACCCGAUGCAUGGGAGGUCAAUUCUGCAGCCGUUUUUAAGCAGCAAUGCCCAGCAGCCUAUAGUUACGCCUUCGAUGACAAGAAUGGCGCUCUUCUCACCUGCAUGUCUUCACAUUACCACGUCAAGUUUGGUGGAUAAAUAUUUGCAUCCGGUUAUUUAUUAUACUGGAUAGUUAUUGUUACUCUUUAGAUAUUAGAAAAGCAUAGUUACAGCAAAAGUGUAAUAUAACCAAGGAGGGCAAUAGUUGGCUGCUUGCGUACAAGUUAUGGUAACUACCGCGAAUAUACCAGCUACGUUCAUCCUGCUUCGGUGUUACAAGCAUCGGGAACACCGAGCGCCAUCUUUGGACACACGUGAAUAGUAACCAAUUCUCGCCGCUAGGGGGCCAGUUCAAGUCGGAAUAUUGGCGCGACUUUUGAAUCGAAACAAACAAAUACACUGUAAAUAAAUAUUUCUAGUAGUCUCAA
rnacentral:misc_RNA from 1 species